rnacentral:precursor_RNA from 16 species
AGGAGGAAGCGGCUGGUGCCAGCGCCCCUGACUGCUGCAUCCUGCUGCCUUGGGGAAUAUCAACCACCAAGCAGCAGUGUGCAGUGGUGAGGGUGGUAUGGCCAAAACUACAAACACCAG